UACGUAGGGUGCGAGCGUUAAUCGGAAUUACUGGGCGUAAAGGGUGCGCAGGCGGCUUGCUAAGACAGGUGUGAAAGCCCCGAGCUUAACUUGGGAAUGGCGCUUGUGACUGGCAGGCUGGAGUGUGGCAGAGGGAGGUGGAAUUCCACGUGUAGCAGUGAAAUGCGUAGAUAUGUGGAGGAAUACCGAUGGCGAAGGCAGCCCCCUGGGAUAACACUGACGCUCAUGCACGACAGCGUGGGGAGCAAACAGG
rnacentral:rRNA from 1 species